AUUGGCUUCUCUUCAGAGCCCUGAGAGAGCAGCCCUGCAGACACUGUUCAUGGACACUGACUGUGGCAAGAGGCCGGAAAAGAGGCAUAAACUCGGAGAACCCAAGACCCCGGCCUGGCGUGCAGCCCCAGCAGCCGGACCAGCCUUGGGCAACAGCGUGCGACGUUCAGCUGUCUGUGUCUCCAGUGCUCCCAUUCCAUCGCACCUGAAUGAGGGAUUUGGGAGGUAAAACAGGCAAAUAAUGAAAUAUACAAAUCUUCAUUGUGCAGUUUUGAUCAGUUGCUUCUCCUAUGCAACCCUCACCCCAAUAGAGACACAGCCUCUCGUCGGAACGCUCCUGCACACCCUUCUCGCAACCCCCACCACCUGCCCCCCACUCCCGACCAGAGCAGCCGCCGUCCUGGUGUCUCCCAUCAGAGGUAAGUGUGGUCUCCCGACCAGAGCAGCCGCCGUCCUGGUGUCUCCCAUCAGAGGUAAGUGUGGUCUCCCGACCAGAGCAGCCGCCGUCCUGGUGUCUCCCAUCAGAGGUAAGUGUGGUCUCCCGACCAGAGCAGCCGCCGUCCUGGUGUCUCCCAUCAGAGGUAAGUGUGGUCUCCCGACCAGAGCAGCCGCCGUCCUGGUGUCUCCCAUCAGAGGUAAGUGUGGUCUCCCGACCAGAGCAGCCGCCGUCCUGGUGUCUCCCAUCAGAGGUAAGUGUGGUCUCCCGACCAGAGCAGCCACCGUCCUGGUGUCUGCCAUCAGAGGUAAGUGUGGUCUCCCGACCAGAGCAGCCACCGUCCUGGUGUCUGCCAUCAGAGGUAAGUGUGGUCUCCCGACCAGAGCAGCCACCGUCCUGGUGUCUCCCAUCAGAGGUAAGUGUGGUCUCCCGACCAGAGCAGCCACCGUCCUGGUGUCUCCCAUCAGAGGUAAGUGUGGUCUCCCGACCAGAGCAGCCACCGUCCUGGUGUCUCCCAUCAGAGGUAAGUGUGGUCUCCCGACCAGAGCAGCCGCCGUCCUGGUGUCUCCCAUCAGAGGUAAGUGUGGUCUCCCGACCAGAGCAGCCGCCGUCCUGGUGUCUCCCAUCAGAGGUAAGUGUGGUCUCCCGACCAGAGCAGCCGCCGUCCUGGUGUCUCCCAUCAGAGGUAAGUGUGGUCUCCCGACCAGAGCAACCGCCGUCCUGGUGUCUCCCAUCAGAGGUAAGUGUGGUCUCCCGACCAGAGCAGCCACCGUCCUGGUGUCUGCCAUCAGAGGUAAGUGUGGUCUCCCGACCAGAGCAGCCACCGUCCUGGUGUCUGCCAUCAGAGGUAAGUGUGGUCUCCCGACCAGAGCAGCCACCGUCCUGGUGUCUCCCAUCAGAGGUAAGUGUGGUCUCCCGACCAGAGCAGCCACCGUCCUGGUGUCUCCCAUCAGAGGUAAGUGUGGUCUCCCGACCAGAGCAGCCACCGUCCUGGUGUCUCCCAUCAGAGGUAAGUGUGGUCUCCCGACCAGAGCAGCCACCGUCCUGGUGUCUCCCAUCAGAGGUAAGUGUGGUCUCCCGACCAGAGCAGCCACCGUCCUGGUGUCUCCCAUCAGAGGUAAGUGUGGUCUCCCGACCAGAGCAGCCACCGUCCUGGUGUCUGCCAUCAGAGGUAAGUGUGGUCUCCCGACCAGAGCAGCCACCGUCCUGGUGUCUGCCAUCAGAGGUAAGUGUGGUCUCCCGACCAGAGCAACCACCGUCCUGGUGUCUCCCAUCAGAGGUAAGUGUGGUCUCCCGACCAGAGCAGCCACCGUCCUGGUGUCUCCCAUCAGAGGUAAGUGUGGUCUCCCGACCAGAGCAACCACCGUCCUGGUGUCUCCCAUCAGAGGUAAGUGUGGUCUCCCGACCAGAGCAACCACCGUCCUGGUGUCUCCCAUCAGAGGUAAGUGUGGUCUCCUGACCAGAGCAACCACCGUCCUGGUGUCUCCCAUCAGAGGUAAGUGUGGUCUCCUGACCAGAGCAACCACCGUCCUGGUGUCUCCCAUCAGAGGUAAGUGUGGUCUCCCGACCAGAGCAGCCACCGUCCUGGUGUCUGCCAUCAGAGGUAAGUGUGGUCUCCCGACCAGAGCAACCACCGUCCUGGUGUCUCCCAUCAGAGGUAAGUGGGGUCUCCUGACCAGAGCAACCACCGUCCUGGUGUCUCCCAUCAGAGGUAAGUGGGGUCUGUUUUUGAAAGUCACUGACACGAAACCGUGCAGAAUGUACUUUUUGUGUCUGAGAUUCACUCACCUCCUUGUGCAGAACCUUGAAGUCCUCGUGAAGAAAUGUGGCCCCAUUAGUGUCCUGCACCUUUUCUCCCCUCACUGAUUGUUAGAAGCCAGGUGCUGUGCUAUGCCUGCUAGGGCCAGUAUUUGACAAAUUCCCUGCUUCGCUAAAGAGGAGGGUUCGUGUCUGGAAGUCACGGGCCCGGUGACAGGCCCACUGUCUGUCCUGGAGGGCCAGACCCAUCGUGCCAGUGAGUGCGGGCCUUGCCCACCGUUGUGUGUGCGGCCCUAGACACACUUGCAGAACUGGCCCCAAUAGGGAGUUUAGAGAGAGGAUUGCACAGGCGAGUGGAUGAAUGAGUGACAUUUCAGAAGCUGAGGUUUGUAGCUGCUGCCUGCAAUCUGUUCUGAAGUCCAGCAGCAGCAAAGGGGUGGGGAGGGGUCAGGCUCACCUGAGACAGGAAGGUGGGUUCCCCCAGGCAGAGGCUUGGCAGAGGGAAUCAUUGUUGGGACAUCUCUAAAAAUAAGUGACAGAAAGUUCCGAGUUCUCUCACGCAGUCUAGAAACACAGAUUCUUACUGCACAGAUUUUUCUUUAAAGUGAAGCAGGAAUUUCAAUGCUCUGAACUGACACCAGCAAACCAAGGCAGUUCUGGCUCAUCCAAGGGUUGGGGUUCUUAUUUCAAACUCGAGAGGCCUGGACUAAGAUGCAUCAUCACUAACCAGGCUCCAACAAGGCAGAAAUGCCGCUUUAUCAAAACCACCGCAGGCUGGAGAGAAAUAAGAGCUGCCUUGCCAAGGCUGGGACCGCCAGCAGAGGCAUACUCAGCUUCCAGGUGGGGCCUGCCAGCUGGGGGCUGGCCCUGAAGAUCACAGACUCCCAGACCGAGGGGGCGGGAAGGUCGUCUCAUCCAGUGGGGACCCCUGUCCAGCCUUUUCUCCUGCUCUGUAGAACCUGUGGGGUCAUUUCAGGAAACAAAAUAUACGAAGCUAUCCAGCCUCAAAGCCAUAAGUAACUAAGUAACUGAAAAAUUAGACCCAAGCUUCCAGAAAAACGGUGCAGAACAUCCUCCCACUCCCUUGGGUUGGGAGCUCCUAAAGGCGUUUCUUAUUCCUCUCUGUUCUUCUGUCACGACCAGGGCUGAGCGUGCGUUCGAGCUUCUCCUGCAUCAUGACCAGGAUGCUCUGGGACACCUUGUCCACGUCUGUGUCCACCAGUCCUGCUCAGAAUCUCCCCAGGGGCUUUUCCACGAUGCCCAUCCAGGCGUCACCCUCACUCUAGGCCAGGAGGAGAAGGCAUGCCCUGAGGAUUCAGCCUCUUCUUCUUCAUCCCUCCCAGCACCCAGUGUGUUGGGUGCACACAUUAUGGUUCCAAACCAGAGUUUCCCUAGGAAAUAAACACGGAGGGGCUGAAAGGACCUGGGGCCAUCGGGGGUGGAUGGCCAUAUCCUGGGGCCUUGAUGCCAGUGCCGACUGUUCCCUGCACGCUUCCACGUCCACGCCAACAUUGCAAGGCUAUGUCACGGACUGGAACAGCUACAGUGAUGACACACCUGAGGUGAACACAACUCCAGCAGCAUCCUGGCCUCUCAUGGGGCAAGUGCAUGUGGAAUCUAGAAACUUCACAGCUGAGCCUGCAAAGGUGCUCAUGGCAUGCAGAAGUGUUUCUGGAUCCAGUGGUAGGAAGUCAUUUCAAGCAGCUUGUGAACAUUCACAGAAGCAGCUCAGGAUCAUCCUGCUGCUUCUGAGAGCAGGUGUCGGGCCCCAGGCUGGAGGCCACGUGCCAGGCUGGCAGGAUUUGUCCACUGUGAAGCUCGACGCCCCCGCAGGCCCUGUGCUGCCCGCCCGGAUCCCCCUGCCUCAGGAUGCCCUCCACACCCUCCGAAUUCCCAGCCGCUGCUCUGGGGCCUGCACAGAGGGCUUGGGCCCAGCACCUGGAAACUCCAAAGAGGCAAACGGGUUCAUGUCCAGGUUUUGUCAGAUCGCUUCCGAGGCUGCCCUCUUCGCCGUGGCUGCUGAGUGCAGAGCUGGGCAUCUGAGUGGACAGAGUGGUGCUCCGCUUCCUUGCAUCUCCUGGGCCAUGCGUGGUGACCUGUGCCCACUGCAUCGCUCCUGUGUGCCCUGUGCAUGUGACCGUGUCUUUCCCGUGUAUUCAGUGCUGCUUCAUGUCUUCCAGUUCCGCUUUGUGGUUUGUGAGUGACCAGUGCAUCCCGUUCCUGCUGCAGCAGCUGCAAUGUGCACUGUCCUGCAGGAAGCCCUCGGGGUAGGGCCUGGGGGCUGUGGGAAGCUCAGCAACAAGAUUCCCAACACCAGAGCUUCUAAGAGACCUGGAACCUCUUGAGUGAUGAGCGUGUCUUUUGUGUGCUGACGAGAGGACAGAGCUGGUGACCCUUGGGCAGCUUCAGGAAGGGACUGCUCCCCAGAAAGACCAAGGCAGGACUUAUAGGUGAGGACUUUCAGAUCCACCCCAACCUCCAGGAAGCGGGAGGGGAGAGAGGACAGGAGCUGAAGAUGGAACUGAUUACCGAUGGCCAAGAAUUUAAUCCAUUAUUCUGUUAAUGAAAAACCAAACUCUGUAAAACAUUUUAAAGAGGUUUAUUGGGACCCCUAAUACGGUGACCACAGCUUGGAGAAAAAACAAACCCAAGAAGCCUAGAGUGAGUGUUCCUGAGGUGCCUGGAUUACAGUCUGGCUUCAUGCACUUUAGGGGACAGGCGUUACAGGUGGACGAGAUAUAUAUUGGCUCAGCUCGAACACGCGGGAUAUCUGGAAGCAAGCCUUAUCGGUUAUAGGUGGAUUCAGAGAGUCUUCAGUUUGCGGCUGGUUAAAGGAGCAAAGCUUUAUCUAAAACCUAGAGUCAGCGAUGAGGACAUCUGCACCCGAAACAUGGGGCAGGGGUGACUAACAGGGUGCAUGACUUGACUUAACCCUCGUCUGACAUGGUCUUGGGUCCUGUUUGUAACUGGGGCUCUUAUUGCCACGGUCAGUUCUGUCAGCCUUCUGAUCUCUGUUUUGACAUUAAUGCCUAAAUUCCAAAGGGAGUGGGAACAGCCAGGCGUCCAAUCUCCCUUCCUGUUGCGGCCGGGAACUGUUUUCCAGGUUUCUCUGGGGUCCCCUUGGCCAAGAGCGGGUCCAUGUAGUCACUGGGGGCCUUAGGACGUUAUUUUUGGUGCCUGUGUUGGGGCUUAGAAGAUCAUACUCCAAAAUGAGGGCCCCAGCAGCAGCCUCUGAAGCAAGUUUCUGUCUGAGCUUCUCCCAUCCUCUGUGUCUCAGUACCACUCUCACUCAAGGUGCCAUAGAAAUGGGAAUCCUUCUUCCCCACAGUGGGUCCUAGAAACCAGAACCCCUUUCCCCAAAGCCAGCCAUACAACCAAAAACUAGGGCUCUAAUUUUCCCUGUGCCUCUGUGUGUACAAACUGGCCAUAAAGAAAUGGUCUGACCUACCUGGCUUGGCUGUAGCUCCUAAGACCCCCAUUCCAGAGAGGGUCCCACCCACACCCAGAAGGAGAGGGCGCUGCUCAGAGAGGCCAAGGAGAAUCCAGACACACAGACCAGGCUGGCUUUCCCCACUCAGUCCAUUAGCAUCAGAUCCAGCUAAGCCUCCAAUCCUAUUUCUACAUGGCUGCCCAUACUUCAUUGAACCUAAGCAUAAAAAUGAGCUGUUUAUCUGAAGGGUCCCUUGUAUACACAUUAAUUUGUGUGCCUUUUCUCCAGUUAAUCUGCUUUUUGUGAGUUGACUUUUCAGAGAACCCUUGUAAGGCUGAGGGAAAAGCUCUCCCUUGGCCCCACACCUACAUAAUGGAACCUCCAUGAGGUACACAUAAUUUAGGAUGUCUAUCCUAAAUGAUGGGGUUCCAAAAACUCCCAGGGUGGUGAAUUCAUCCAGAUGCCGGGAGGGAGGACGGUGCACUGCAACCCAGGUUGUUAGUCUCAGAAUUGAAUGGAAUUCCAGGACAUCCAGUUGGCAUCCAAGGAGCUGGAAAACUGGGUGGUGUGGGAAAUAAAAACCUGAUAGGUUUGGGAUCAUGAGAGAAAGAGAUACCCUUUAGCCACCUUCUCUGUUUCCUCAUGAGAAAAGAAAGUCAUGUUUAUCUGAGGACUGUGAGUCCUUUUAAAUUAUCAGGCCCAAGGUGUUAAGAUGAGGCAGCCGUCAUGUCCUACUCCCCCCUGCCUACUCAAGCUGUGUAUUCAUCUCUGGAAACUGCUUGCUGUUGCCACAAGAGGCUAUAAAUUAAUCGAACAAUGCUACACUGGACACUGUAACCACACCCUAUAGCUUAACAAUAUAUAGCCCAUCAAUAGCUUAUUUUUUUUUGAGACGGAGUCUUGCUCUGUCACCCAGGCUGCAGUGCAGUGGUGUGGUCUCAGCUUACUGCAACCUCUGCCUCCUGGAUUCAAGCGAGUCUCAUGCCUCAGCCUCCAGCGUAGCUGGGAUUACAGGCACACGCCACCACACCAGGAUAAUUUUUUGUAUUUUUAGUAGAGACGGGGUUUCACCAUGUUGGCCAGGCUGGUCUCAAACUCCUCACCUCAAAUGAUCCGCCUGCCUUGGCCUCCCAAAGUGCUGGGAUUACAGGUGUGACAACACUCAGCCUAGCUUAUGUUAUUUUAAUGUAAAUUCUUGGUAAACAACUUGGGACCUGCCUCUUCUCCCCAGAGUCCUGGAUAACCCUCUCUGCCCUGUCUCCUUCCCACCUACCGCCCUGAAGGCUGCUUCCGCCUCUGCCCAGACUGCAGAUGCUCCCAGGCUGUGUCCUCUGCCCGCCUCUUCUCUCCAGCCCUCUCUCAUGGCAGUCCCACCUGACAACUCCCAUGGCCUCCUGGGUGUCCUGCAAAGGCUUUGUCACUGGUGUCACUCCUCCAGGCCUCAGAUAAUUCCAGAUACACAAGCGCUCUCCCAACAAGCCAUAUUCUCACCUCUGCAAAGCAUUUCCAAGCAUCUCCGUUUCCUCUGCAUAAGCGACACGGCCCAGCCACCCGAGCCCUCGUUGCCAUCCACCACUGGGCAUCAGCUUCCACUCCCGUCUUUCUCGUGUCCUCUGGUCCAGCCCCUGGUGAGCUCCAGCCAAGCACCGCCUACUGGGCCUCUGGUCUUUACCUGUUCUGUUCCCUCUGCCUGGAGUUUUUUUAAGUAGAAAAAUGCGAGAAUGUGGAGUGGGAAUGUAAAAUGGUGUGGCUGCUGCAGAAAACACUUUGGUGGUUCCUGAAAAAGUUUAGGCAUACACUUAGCAUGGGACUCAGCAUUUACCCCUUAAGCACACGCCCCAUGGAAACAAAACCUGUUCCCUCGGAAACGCGCACACAGACGCUCGUAGCUACGUCCUUCGUAACAGCUGGAAGGCGGAUGUUGGGAACAGGCCCCCCAAAAUCUGGCCAUAAACUGGCCCCAAAACUGGCCAUAAACAAAAUCUCUGCAGCACUGUAACAUGCUCAUGAUGGUCAUGACGCCCACGCUGGAAGGUUGUGGGUUUACCGGAAUGAGGGCAAGGAACGCCUGGCCCAUUCAGGGCGGAAAACCGCUUAAAGACAUUCUUAAUCCACAAACAAUAGCGUGAGCGAUCUGUGCCUUAAGGGCAUGCUCCUCCUGCAGGUAACCAGCCAAACCCAUCCCUUUAUUUCCAGCCCAUCCCUUUAUUUCCCAUAAAGAAUGCCUUUAAAUCUAUAAUCUAUAAAAACAAUGCUUAUCACUGGCUUGCUGUCAAUAAAUAUGUGGGUAAAUCUCUGUUCAAGGCUCUCAGCUCUGAAGGCUGUCAGCCCCGAUUUCCCACUCCACACCUCUGUAUUUCUGUGUGUGUGUGUGUCUUUAAUUCCUCUAGCGCCGCUGGGUUAGGGUCUCCCUGACCGAGCUGGUCUCGGCAGGCGGAGACGACCGGGUGUCCACCACAGGUGAAGGGAUUAACAAAUGGUGCCCGGUCCCUGGGGUGGGAUAUUAUGCAUCUGUGAACAGAAGUGAGACACUGAUACACUGAGGGGACUCAGGGGCCACCACUGGGAUGAGGCUUGGAAAUGUGGCUUCCACCGAAAGAAGUGAGACACAAACGUUCGCACACCGCGUGAUUCCUUUUAUAUGAAAUAUCCAAAACGGACAAAUCCAUAGAGACAGAAAGCAGAUCUGUGGUUUCCAGAGGAUGGGGAAGG
rnacentral:lncRNA from 1 species